UGAUGGUUGGCUGGGAGCGUGCUAUGUGGUGAAGUUCAUUUUUAAGAGUGUAUGCAGUGAUUUAUCCAGACCCCCUCUACACCCAGAUGUAUUAUGCCGACACCCCUAUAACAUUUUUUACCUGUGCACUUUUUUGCAACCCACUCCUCCUCCCCUGUGCUUAGGACUCUGCAUAAAGCCACUGGGUCUAUGUUGACAAAACGCACUGUGUUGCUCUUGCUACCACACUGUAACCAAGUCCGGAGGUGCAAAAUGAACACGCACUCCAGUGAGUGAAGUCGCACAAGGAUCAUCGACAUACAUUGCAGUGAAAUGGAAAGCUUGAUGAUCCCCCCUGGUGUUCGGCAUUUCCCAGCGGAAAAGGUGGCAACCCUGUUCCUACUCUGUGCCCGAGACGCGCUUGGUCGAUGUGUUUUUAGCAAGGCCGGAUUUGUGCGACUCCUAUAAAAACGUCCGCUUAAAAACAAAGCCAGCAAAAUCAAAAAAGAAAUACACCACGUGGACAAUGCACCUGACUGCUAACAAAAACAUUUGGUUGGUGUCAUUUGCGUAGAGCGUUCUUUGGUACGCAUUAGUUAAGACAUCUUGUAUGUGAGUACAGAUGCUUAUCACAUGAACCCCGUUGAAUGCUUAUUCCUCAUUGUUAAAGAAAAAUCGCUGUGAAGUUUGAGGUGUUUCUAGGCUUUACUACGGUGUCGAACCGAAAAACUUUUUUUUCACUGUAGCUUCUGAGCCAUUUCGAAAAACACGUUUUAGCUGUAAAAGCUGUAACAAACCGAGCAUCGAGGAAGACAUUGUGCUUGCUAAGUGACAGCUACGUUUUACGUUGUCGUCUGACCUCUGUAUGCAUGAACUGCACUCGCUGCAAUCUCCUCAGGGGAGAGGAGUGGAGCCGUUUUUCAAUUGGUCCGCAACAAAGAACAAUGUCGCAUCCCGGUGUAUGUGUCGUCUGCUCUCGCAUCUGUCUCAUCUGCUGGGCUUAGCCAAGGCAGGGUCUUGAUAUUGCGGUGUUCAGCAACAACGCUUUCGAUGAUGAAUGGGAUUGCAUUUCUCAAUCUGGUGUUCCCUUUUGGUCAUCCGCUGUAGAGAGUGCCUGUUUCUGGUUUCCCUGAUUUUCCGUUGCCGAAGUGUGGAGUCUCUGCACGCGUGCAUCGUACCAAGAGGGCAGACGAUAACUAUUCCACUGGAAGACCACACACACACACAUACUUGUGCCGAGAAGGUUGGCGUUGCACAAUCACAGAAACGCGCAGUUCGCAUAAUAUAUUAAUACCCUGUCCUUACCUUAGCAGCGGCAGUGGUGACGGAGUCAUUUGGCAUUUGUGAUUGUCCACGAUCUGGGUGAUCAACAAGUCUGAAUGGUCAUCUGUUCACUGUCACUGUAACUUUUUAGAAUGGUUUCAUCGGGAUUUCGCAUGCCAAAGAUUUACAGCGAGAUGCCCUCCGUGGCAGUCCGAGUAAGGGCGCUUCGCGGAUCAAUCCAGAUGCAAACCUCGAAUUGUGCUGGACUACUACUCAGGAACCCCUCAUAAACGUUCUCCUCUUUUUCUCUCUCUCUCUCGAUCUUUUUCUGUAGACACAGUCUCCAACCAAAAUUGACUUGCGCUGCGUCACGUGGCAUUGUGAGACAAGUUGACCCUCCCCAAUGCUGUCGCUGCAGUGCUCUGGAGGAUCUGGAGCACAUUCUUCUUCAUUGCCCACACUACCAACCUUCCAGAACCGCUUUCUCCCGGUCUCUUAAUCAGCUGGAUUCUCGCCCCCUCUCUCUCCCCCAAAAUGCUCAAAAUUGCUUGGUCCCUGGCCACAUCCAGCCCACCAACGCUCUGCCCUCAAAGCUCUUUACACCUUUUUGGACGCCAUAGGACUUUGAUCCAUAUUGUGAAUGGGACUCAUUAUUCCAUUCCCCGCCAUGCAAUGCCAGCAAUGCAAUGGGGUAGGGUAGCAUGCAUGGUAGGGGCAGCAUGCAUGCCAGCAAUGGGGUAGGGUAUCGCCCCUGGCGACGAAACUCCCCAUUCACCAUCUCACAAAAACGUUGUUGUUGUUGUUGUUCUAACUCAAGGCCAAAUACGAUGACAUGCCACGUUAUUUAAGAGUUUAAGAGGCAUAAGUGACAUACUGUUCUGCCUAGUGAGACCCGUCUUCACACAGACACACCGCUCCCCUGAUCCGUAUUGUCACUUUCGGUAAAGACUGAAAAACCCCUUACAAUCGAAUUCUCCACACCGCAGACAUUGCCACCCACAACGGGCACCCCAGAACGCUAAAUAUACUUAACACCUUGAAGUUCCGCUCGAAGUCUCCUGUACCAGGCUUUUACACGAGCAGUUUCUCUAGACAGUAUCGUGUUUUUCGGCACACACGUGUACACGUGACGAUGAAUUUGGUUUCUUCAUCGCUGCCUGCUGUUGACGAUGAAUUUUAACGGUCAAUAAAACUGGAGCGAAGCAGUGCACGAAAUUGCCAAUAAGUGAUUUUUUUUACUUCUGAAGUAUAUAUAUAUAUAUGGCACUGUCAAGAUUUCCCGAGUAAUCGCCGUGUUCUCAAGUAAAAGCUACAACGCUUAGGUAAUAGCUUCAAAAAGGCCAACGCAAACACAUGAACUCGAAGAACAUGCGAAUACGCAACAGCUUCGAAGAUGAUGAUGCAUAGCACUGCCUUUUGCUAUGCGUCUUACACUUGCUUAAGCUUUUAUAGAAAACCGUUUUCUGUAGCAGUUUGGUUCGGCACCGGCACCCUAGACUGCACUACGAUAAAGACGAAGGUUCAGUUGUGUCCUUUUUUGUUUUUCGUGCAUCAACUUGUUCAGUGGUCAAAUGUACUUGUUUGUGAGAAACGACAGUUGCUGACUGAAAGUGUUGAGCACAUGAAAGAAGUGAAGUUGCCUUUCUGAUCCAAUCCUUUUCUGUUAUGACUUAACCUGUUUUGUUGACAGGUUUGUAAAUACAGUGCUAUGUACAUAAACGUGAAGAGCAGUGCAGUUAUACGAGCACUUUCAAUCUUACAUUGUACCACACACAAAUUUAUGCAGCACUACUCACACGUGCACCAUGAAAUUUUUUCUAAUAGUACGACCCAAAAUGUUAUCGGAUUUUACAUCUGGAUUACGAUGGCAGGCUUCCUCGAUCUCCAUUUUUUAAUGAUUCUAAUAAAUAAUGGAUUCAUAUGGAAUAUUUACACAUAUUUGCAGAUUUUUUUUUUUUUCUCACCUGUCAUUGUGUGCAUUGUGUGCGAGCCCAUGCAGUGCUCUACUGCAGCUACACAGUAUGUUUAGGGUUCUUCAUUUUCGGGUUUAAUUCCGAUUUUUCACGAUGGUUCCACCCCGAACAAGUUUUCAAGAAUUCGGGUAAAAACCCCCGAUAUCUACCCGAAAUGCUCGCGGUCCUUCAACUUGUCGUUUUAGGUAAACCGUCGGAAAAGUGAAUCAUAACAUCAGCAAAGAGAGCUAUUUGUGACAACCUACUUGUCCUCCUUUUAUAGUCCCUUCCUGCAGGAGAGAAAAGGACGAGCUUUUGUGGAGCUCGGACAAGUGUUUGAAUACCGCGGUCAUUCACCGCGCCAGUUCCGAGCGGAAACAUAAAGAUUCUCGUUUUCCGUCCCAGUGUCACAGCAGUGGCUUGUUUCAUAUGCCUUUCGUUUCACCCGAAAAUUCCUCGGUGACAUAUCAAACAGAGGUCGUAGCAUCCGAUUUCUCCCAGAGUUCUUGUGUGUAGAUAGCACCAGAUUCCCCCCCCCCCCUGAAUUUUAAAAAUCAUAAAACCCGAAAACAAAGAACCCUAAGUAUGUUGUGCACGUCAAAUGGUUGGAUCACCUUCGACUAUUCCUUUGAAACAUGAAUUUCUGGAGCACCUACCAGUAGUAGGGUACUUGGAUGCUGCAACAAACCAUCCCCAACGGCAUUUUCCCAGCAAAUACGUGUGUGUCUAGGAAACACACGUUUACGGGGCUUUCGAAUGAAUGCUUGCGCGUCUUCAGCGUGUAGAUAAAGAACACGAGAUAAGCGUGAUGAGUCUGUUGGAAUUGGAUGUUUUUUGUACAGUUUUCCUACACAUUUCAUUCUCUCUCUCGUGGACUUCUCGAUUGUGUAAAAAUGACACAUCCUGCUGUACACGUUUCUGCAGCGUGCCGAACAGAGGUUGAAGAAAUAAAGUGGACAUACCGCUGU